GAUGAACGCUGGUGGCGUGCCUAAUACAUGCAAGUCGAGCGAAUGACGAGGAGCUUGCUCCUCUGAUUUAGCGGCGGACGGGUGAGUAACACGUGGGUAACCUGCCUGUAAGACGGGGAUAACUCCGGGAAACCGGAGCUAAUACCGGAUGAUAACGAGAAGCGCCUGCUUCUUUUUUGAAAGUCGGUUUCGGCUGACGCUUACAGAUGGGCCCGCGGCGCAUUAGCUAGUUGGUGAGGUAACGGCUCACCAAGGCGACGAUGCGUAGCCGACCUGAGAGGGUGAUCGGCCACACUGGGACUGAGACACGGCCCAGACUCCUACGGGAGGCAGCAGUAGGGAAUCUUCGGCAAUGGACGAAAGUCUGACCGAGCGACGCCGCGUGAGCGAUGAAGGCCUUCGGGUCGUAAAGCUCUGUUGUCAGAGAAGAACAAGUACCGGAGUAACUGCCGGUACCUUGACGGUACCUGACCAGAAAGCCACGGCUAACUACGUGCCAGCCGCCGCGGUAACAC
rnacentral:rRNA from 1 species